AAAAUUUGGUCAAAGUCAAACUUUAUAAAGUUUGACUAACUUUGUAGGAAAAAAUAUCAACAUCUACAAUAUUAAAACUAUAUGGUAUGAAAAUUAAUUUCAUGAUGCAUCUAAUAAUAUUGAUUUCAUAUUGUGAGUGUUGAUAAUUUUUCCUAUAAAUUCAUUCAAAGUUGAUAAAGUUUGACUUUGACCAAAUUUUA
rfam:Triticum aestivum genome assembly, contig: Triticum_aestivum_CS42_TGACv1_scaffold_581428_7BL